rnacentral:rRNA from 1 species
GCCCUCAAGACGAGGAUAACCGUUGGAAACGAAUGGCUAAGACUGGAUAGGAAUACGGGAGGCAUCUUCUGUAUUUUAAAAGACCUGGCAACAGGUAUGCUUGAGGAGGGGCCUGCGGCGCAUUAGUUAGUUGGUGAGGUGAUGGCUCACCAAGACGAUGAUGCGUAGCCGGACUGAGAGGUUGAACGGCCACAUUGGGACUGAGAGACGGCCCAAACUCCUACGGGAGGCAGCAGUAGGGAAUUUUCGGCAAUGGGGGAAACCCUGACCGAGCCAACGCCGCGUGAACGACGAAGUACUUCGGUAUGUAAAGUUCUUUUAAGAGGGAAGAAUGGCCCGUGGAAAAGCGGGCGUGACGGUACCUUUUGAAUAAGCCCCGGCUAACUAUGUGCCAGCAGCCGC